rnacentral:lncRNA from 13 species
CCUAUUUUUUGUUUAACGUUUCUUGUGUUUCUUUUAUACUAUAUAAAGCGUCUUUGUGUCAUUAAAAAUCGGUAUAAAUAGGCUACCAUAUAUUAAAUAUGACGUUUUGACGUCACUUGUUUAUGUUGUACUUCUGGAUGGAAUUGAGUGAUUGCGAGUCCAGCACAGUGCCAAAAGUAGACUAGCCUUGUUCCAGACAUGUAGAUUUUAGGCCUCUGUUGGACAGAAGCAACGGUGUUUUCCCCUUCAGAAAUUGAAACACAAAGACAUACCUACUGAUUCAUAAUAUGACAUAACGGCUUGACAUUGACAUCCACUUCAGCUCUGUCUGUGCAUAAAAACGCCGGCGGGCACAGAUGCGCCGAUUGUAAUGUCGCGCCAAUGGAGAGACGCACUUUUCUCUGUUAACAUUUGCUCCGUGUAGGUAUUGCAGCAGGCUGCAUCUUUGAAACUCUUGACAUUAUAGGAAUUCAGUAUUUAUUCAGGCCAUUGGUCUGAUUUUAUCAGUAAAGUUACUCUCAUCAAAUAAAAUAAACGCAUGAAGAGGAACAACUUUAUGCACAGCACAGCUGCUACCACAAUGAAGAUAAUUCUACUCAUUAUGGUAUUUUCUCUCGUUAUGGCAUCUGUCCUCAGCCAAAAAAUACAUUUUGAUGGCAGUUGGAGAGAAGACAAUGAUACGAGGAAAUUGCAACUAUCUGAGCAAUACAAAGAAAUCCUGAAAAGAAUGACUCGAAAACCUGAGUCACGCCAAUUCUUUGAUCUUAUGGGGAAAAGAGGCUCUGGUAGGCUAACUACUUUCUAGUAAUAAUUCAAUAUUUUAAAUAUAUUCUAUUUCUAUAAAAGCUCAUCUGUAUUUUUGCUUUUUCCCUUCCACUCUUUACAGAAAAAUCUGACCAUUUCAACUCAAUUUUACUGAGGCUACUAUUAUGAAGAUAUUCAUGGUAUAUAAGGCACAGAGAUCCUAUUAAAUAUGUAAUUCUAUGAUAGAAGGUAUGAAAACCACUGAGGUGGAACUGUUCUCAUGCCAUAUACAAUUCCUACGAGAGACUCUGCUGUGUAAUGUCAAAAUGGGAUCACUGUGGGAGAUGUACUUUUCUCAGUCUGAAAUUGCCCUAAUAUCACCUCUUUCCCAGGGCAGAAAUUUGAGUCUUUUGUUGGACUGAUGGGUAAAAGGAGCUCAGAGGGACAAGGUAAAAUAUCAGCAUUUAGUGUAUCCAUGACUCAUUCUGAGUGAGUUUUCUUUCUCUUAGGACAUACUGUUGAUUACUGUUAUUCCUGCAGGUUCCUUCUAAUGGAUCUCCAUAGCAGCUACAUACAUACAACUUUGCAUCAAAAUAAUUAACUGUGAACCAGGAUGCACUGAACAUGUGUUUGCAUGAUUGUUUCAGUCAAGCGUGAAGUCCAAUGUUCUGAAAACAUUUUUGCGUCAGCAAAUUAACAGUACUUGCAAAAAUUGCUUUAGAAAAUGAAGGAAUAUGCAUAUUACUGUGUGAAAUGUCAAAUCUAUUCAGGCAAAUAACCUGCUAGUGCCCUGAAAACAUUCAUAUUGUGCAUGUAAUGUGGCAGAAUACUUACAUCAAAAGUAAAACCACUAAACUGAGAAACGCUGAAAAGGAAACCCAUGUUGCCCUCUGGUGGAGAUAUGGUGUAGACAAAGCAGAUUAAUACUGAACUACAGAGCAAAAAUAAGUAACACAUUUAAACUGUUUAAAUAUCAGUAGGCCUACAUAAUAGGUAUUCUGAAUGUAGUAAUGCAGUAUCAACAUGCAUUACCUAGCAGCAUUCAUUGCAUUGCAAGUCUAUCACAUGUUUAUUAAGUGACUUUGUAC